GGGACAACAGUUGGAAACGACUGCUAAUACCCUAUGAGCCCUAUGGGGGAAAGAUUUAUCGCCAUGAGAUGUGCCCGCGUUAGAUUAGCUAGUUGGUAAGGUAAUGGCUUACCAAGGCGACGAUCUAUAGCUGGUCUGAGAGGAUGAUCAGCCACACUGGGACUGAGACACGGCCCAGACUCCUACGGGAGGCAGCAGUGGGGAAUAUUGGACAAUGGGGGCAACCCUGAUCCAGCCAUGCCGCGUGUGUGAUGACGGCCUUAGGGUUGUAAAGCACUUUCAGCAGUGAAGAUAAUGACAUUAACUGCAGAAGAAGCCCCGGCUAACUUCGUGCCAGCAGCCGCGGUAAUACGAAGGGGGCUAGCGUUGUUCGGAAUCACUGGGCGUAAAGAGUACGUAGGCGGACUGAUAAGUUAGGGGUGAAAUCCCAAGGCUCAACCUUGGAACUGCCUUUAAUACUGUCAGUCUUGAGAUCGAGAGAGGUGAGUGGAACUCCGAGUGUAGAGGUGAAAUUCGUAGAUAUUCGGAAGAACACCAGUGGC
rnacentral:rRNA from 1 species